UACGUAGGCAGCGAGCGUUGUUCGGAGUUACUGGGCGUAAAGGGUGUGUAGGCGGUUGUUUAAGUUUGGUGUGAAAUCUCCCGGCUCAACUGGGAGGGUGCGCCGAAUACUGAGAGGCUAGAGUGUGGGAGAGGAAAGUGGAAUUCCUGGUGUAGCGGUGAAAUGCGUAGAUAUCAGGAGGAACACCGGUGGUGUAAACGGCUUUCUGGACCAUAACUGACGCUGAUGCACGAAAGCGUGGGUAGCAAACAGG
rnacentral:rRNA from 1 species